CAGGACUUGGGGGGAACUUUCCUGGUUCCCAUGUUAACAACUGGGUCUUGCACCUCAACAACAAUAACCAAAGCGCUACAGGGGGCGCCAAGGAAAUACCCGUUUUAUUCAGUGUCUGGAUGAGAAGCAAUGGAGCCUUCGGAACGAGACGCAGAGCAAUUGCAUAGUCCUGGUGUCUGUCUCUAUUGUAGAGUUGGAGAACCCAAGGAGUAAGUCCAUAAGACAGCAAGGAGUUCCUAAGAAAUGAUGCUGACACGCAGUUUUCCCUCGUGACCUGGAACGCGGAUUCUUAUUUUACGAUGUGUCAUUUCCAUGUGAAGGCCUGAUUAUUACUUUGUUUUGGAAGGGCGGCUGGCGGCUUUACAGAUGGAACCUGAUAUUACAUGGGAGAAGGGUUUGAAAAGCAGAAAAUCAAGGCAUUGCUCAUGUGGACUUUCCGAUGUUGAUUCUGUCGCUGGUUGAACUCAUUCCAGUCGUUGGUGUCAGAAAGACAUUCGCAUGUUUCGCCCUGUGCCAAAAGGGCACGUCAAGCAAAACUGCCAUCUAAGGGGUUUGGAAAGUACCAGCAAAUUUCCA